rnacentral:rRNA from 1 species
UACGAAGGGGGCUAGCGUUGUUCGGAAUUACUGGCGUAAAGCGCACGUAGGCGGGUUGUUAAGUCAGGGGUGAAAUCCUGGAGCUCGAACUCCAGAACUGCCUUUGAUACUGGCAACCUAGAGACUGGAAGAGGUUAGUGGAAUUCCCAGUGUAGAGGUGAAAUUCGUAGAUAUUGGGAAGAACACCAGUGGCGAAGGCGGCUAACUGGUCCAGCACUGACGCUGAGGUGCGAA